CUCAGAGCAGCUAAAUUGUUUCUUAUCAGCACUACAUGUCAAAUCACUGACAGGGUCUUCAUCAUUUCUAAGAGACUUUAAGGCUAACUGAUAUUCUCUGGUCUCUGUCCAAUCAUCAUCACCACUGUCAUCAGUCUCAGGCUGUAAAUGUGUAUCUGGAUCUGAGUUCCUGGCUGGUUCUGGUCCUCCACAGUCUUCUCCAUCAGCUCCAGUUUCCAUCUGUUCAGUGUGUCUUUGAUGAAGCUGUGAGGACUGAGGUUUCUCUUCAUCAUCUUCACUCUUCACAGGGACAGGAGAGAAUGUGAACUCCUGUUCCUCUUUAAUGUGUGGAGGCUCUGGGUCCUCCUGGUCCUCUUUAAUGUGUGGAGGCUCUGGGUCCUCCUGG